rnacentral:lncRNA from 1 species
GAAAUGUAUUUUCAAAAACCUCAACAUUUAAACGUGCAUAAAACAUAAUAGUUCCAAAACAUUUGUCUAAUGAAAAUAGCGAAGGAAAUAAAAUGACUUUAAUUACAUUGUCACAAAGUUCAAAAGUAAUAACUAUAAUUAAAAUCUCAGGUUUGUCCUCCGUCAUCUCUCAAAUUUAUCAUGCCUUAGCACCAUCUGCAACAUCAUCU